UAUGGUGCAUUGACUGUAAAGAAAGCACAAGUGUCCUUGCCCUCAGUCUUCACUACCCCUUCUGCUACUAUGACAGCAGACCUCACUAUCAACCUACCAGGAGACUGUCCACACCCCACUGGCAUAUUUUGAUCUCAGCCCACCAACAUUCACAGUCUACACUUCACCAGCAACCACUGGCUGCAAAAGCACAAGAGAGUAGUAAUUCAGUAUCGUUUGCAUUUGUUUUAUAUAAGCAGUAAUUUAUGAUUAAAAUUGUGUAUUUCUGCCAAUAGUGUAUAGUUUUAAAAUUUUCAAAUAUUACUUGACAAACUGUCAAAGAGGCAUUUUCUUGAACAGACUUUCAGAUAAGUGUACUGAUGAAGUUGGACCACAUCCUGGCCAAUGAACAGCGACAGACCACCUUCCUUUGCCAAAUGGCAAGUGAAGGAAGAAAUAGAGGGGAUAGUAACUGUAUGCUAGAGGAUGUGCUUCCAAAGCCAUUUUAUUGACACCCCUGACCAGCUGGAGGAGUUUGAUAAGAAGUUAGAAGAUGAUUCCUUCGGAAAAAAAAAAAGUAAGUUAUCUUCAUGGGCUUCUAGGGUGGCCAAACUUGUGGGGAACAAUCCAGUGAAUCAUGCAAAAGGCAGGCAACUACAGGUUGUGGUAUGCUUACAAAGUGAAGGGCAAAAGGCACAAGGAAAAGAAAAGAAGCCUGCCUUCAGACCCACCCAAAAGUAAAGGAAAACACUAUUGAGGACCAAGAGUGAAAAUUUAUAAAGGAGUUCUCUACCUUACACUUUGUCACUAUAUAAUUAAAAAGUUAUAUAUAUAUGAUGCUGGAAAUUUUACACAAACCUACUUCAGCAAAUGGUGGUUAAACAUUGGAAAAUGAUUAAGUGGAAAAAGAAGAGCUGACUGAUGACUAGAAAAGCUUCU